GGCCGGAGAGGCAGCAGCACCCCGAGCUGUCAGGCGUUCCGCCGCGGCCGCGAGGCCCGCCGGCCGGCGGGGAGCUACGCCCGGACGGCCAGCAGGCCCGCGGGAGUGGGGCUGCCGCGGCUGAGGCGAGGCGGGCCGCGCGCGUCGGCGUCACAGCCCGCGGCAGAGGCGCCCAGGGCGGCCGGGCCCACGACGCCGAAAGCGCCGCUGCGGUUGCCGCCUCGGAGGCUCCCCCGGGCCCCGGCGGCUGGACCCGGCGCGGGCGGGAGGCUCGGGCGGGCGGUCCGGCCCGGGACUCGGGUUUGGGCGACCAGGAGGUGCCGGUGGCCGCGCUCGGACCCGGUGUUCUCCAACGGAGGAGCUUUUUAACCUCUUUCCGGUGAGGUGGGAACUCAUCUUCAUGAUCGAAUUUAAAAGAACAAUGGAACCCUGACUACGUUUCAACAAAAAUAAAACUUGUUUUUUUCCCUCCUAUUGGGUGUUGGCUUUUAACUCUUUCAAAGCCGAUUUUGAAACGGCUGCAGUGAUACAUGCGAAGGUGUGACUUAAGAGAUUAAAAUUAAUUUGGUUGCUGUUGGUUCUGAACAAAUAAUGAGUUCUUUUAUUUGAGGUGUAUGCCAUUUUGAAGACUGAGACGUUGGAGUUUUAUCCUAGAGGAUAAAGGAAAUCUUUGGGAAAGUCAGUAUUUUAUAUAGCAAGUAUUUGAUUGUGGAGCGGCAUAAGGGGGAGAAAGAUAAGUUGAGGACGUCUCUUUAUCUUUUGUUAAUCAGAGGUGGUGAUAGAGUGGAAAAUAUAACACGUUUCGGCAUUCAGGAGACCUACCUUCCAAUGUAAAUAUGAACCUCAAACUGAAUCCUCUAAAGGCCCCAUACAAUGAAGUAGACAUUGGUGGAAACAUUUACACCCAGUCAGCUUGAAGAGUUUCAAAUGGACCCUACCACUGAGAAAUCAAGAUGGCAGUCUACUAUGGGGAAUUGAGGAAAAAUGGAUUAAUACAAGAGUCCUGUGAUAAUAUACAACCAAGACAGGGUUCUUUUAACAUGGAUUCCAUGCAGUGAAUGAAGACAUAGGUUUCUUACCCAACACAAAUGGACAGUGGAUUUGACUUUCUAAAGACUUUUUUUGUGGACAUUUUGACAUUUGGAGAAGAAAGAUGGCACACUAACCCAGAUAAUAGUUUUUAUGCCUGGAAUUUUUUGCAGUUUGAUUUGUAUGCGUAUGACCUCUUGAAAUGUUAAUUUUUAAUAAAAUUUGUAACACUUAAAAAUU
rnacentral:lncRNA from 1 species